GCGUCACCCUGAAAGGAGGAGGACGGUCAGAGCAGCAGAGACUCUUUCAGCAGCACACAUGGACGUUACAUGGCUCUCACACUGUUCCACUGAUAAAGGACCAGAGCGUUCAUAGAGGUGACAUCAUUCUCCCAGACUGAUACAAACUUCACUGGCGCCAUGACUGACUGUACAACUUUAAAUCAUUUUGUACAACUGGGCAGCAAAACAUAACUUUUUUUCUUUUCUUUUUCCUCUUUUUUCAGUGAUAUCACUCUAUGCUAGCCCAUUGCCUUAAAUCCCUUUGGAAAAUCUCAUUUAAUGAACAAGAACAUCAGGUUAUAGGUGUCGCUGAGCUGCCUUUCCUUUUUGUGUGUGUGUCAGAAUAUACAUAGCUAGAAGGUUAGAAAGGUUUUUUGUUUAUUUGUUCUUUUUUAUGUCUUUUUCAUUUGUCUCACUCAAUGCUAGGGGACUGAGGAAUAAUGUAAAGCGUAAAGCUUUAUUUUUAAUGUUAAACAGCUGAAAACUACGGUGGCCGAGAGGUGCAAACCAAAUUUACAAAAUGUAAAACACUUUUACAAAGUUUAAGACAAAUUUACAUUUUGGAAAACAUUUUUACAUAUCACAAAACAAAAUUACAAGUUCUGAAACAAAUUUACAUUUCAGAAAACAAUUUAACAAGACGUGAAACACUUACAAUCUCCGACACAAAUUUUCAAGUGGCGAAACACUUUUGCAAGUUCCGAAACAAAUUAACAAAUGAAAAUCAACCGGAAAGGGAAUGUCCCAACUCCAGGGUUGAACCAGAAGUGAUGGCGAAAACCGGCCAAUACGAGUUAUUGUUGUUGUUGAAGUUGAUGGAGUUUAUCGUGACCCAAGAUGGACGGCGAGCGGGUGAUGUUCUGCCCAUUUUGUGGGGAGCACAUGAGCCGCUUAACGCGGUUUUGUUUUUCGUGUGGUCGGUCUUUGGAGUUUUUAAAUGGGGCAGACAAAACGAAUGCACAGGAGACAUCCCAACCACCUGUUAAUGCUAAACAGGGAGAAAAAUCGUGUCCAUCAUAUAAGCAUUUCCUGGAGCAGAGAAGCUCCAAGUCAAAGGAGCGUCAGUCUUGUAACUACGGGCCGAGAGGAAGACCUCGGGCUAAAGAACGAAAACACGUCCAGAUAAACAUUGGGUUGAUGGUGCCAAAUAGAGAUGAUGGAACUGAUUUAAAACCUCUAAGAGGGAAAACACUCCCGUUAUUUGUUGAGCCAGAGGUCGAAGCUCCUGAUCUUCUCAAGCAAGCUGCAAAGAAAAUGUGAACAUUCAACAAAGACAUGCAAGAAGGACCAUAUGUCCUUUUGUAUCCAGACUGCUGAGAGGUGGUCCAUGUACCUGGGUCAGAAAAGCCGUUCAAACUGGAUGAUUAUAAAAGGGAACUUGGGAGGCCAUACGGCAGGAUCACCUUUUUCAUUUGCCUGGAAAUACAUUUUAAAGGAGCAGUGGGUGAUACCUCAUGAUGAUCAUGACUCUGAUGGCGAUUCUGAAAUUAUCAUCACAUCAAGGAGCACAGCUGAAUUUAACCGAGCUGACACUGUGAUUUUUGAACCACAAAACCAAAGUACUCCCAAACACAAAACUGAAGAUGAAAGGUGGAUGUGGCUAAUAUCUGACCAUGGUGAAGUCGUGUGCUGCCAUCUCCUGCACCAGUCGAUUUGUAAUAUUUCCUUUCAUAAGUUUCCCAAGCAGUCCAAGGACAACACACUGAGAGAGCAAUGGAUACAGGCCAUCAGUAGAGAAGCGAUGGGGACCAAGAGGAGAUGAUCAUAAUUAUGUUUGCAGCAACCAUUUCAGGGAGGAGGACUUCAUCCUCUCAAAACAUGCUCAACACAAGCUUCUCAGGCCAGGAGCUGUACCAUCCCUCAAUUUGGGGAAACCAGAGAAAAAGAUGGCAGUGAGGACAACCCAAACCAGCCAGGCAGCAGUGGCAUUAUACCAGCACAUGGACAUGGAGCCUGAACAAGAGCCUGAAGAGGGCAGUGCUGCUGUUAGUGAACACCAUGCAUACUGUACAGACAUCGACAACCUGAAGAGGAAAUAUGACGGUCUAAUUGUACAGCUUGAAAAGCUGAGGCAGGACUUCAACAAUGCCAAACGUAGAGAGAAGCGCUGCAGAGUGACGUUGGAGGCCAUGUUAGCUAAAACCAAGGAAAUGCAAGCCCUGUCUGAUGAUGCUCAUUCCAUGCUUGAUGCAUAUAAAGGUAUUCCUUGUUUAGAAGUACAUAUGAGUGACAUGCAGCAUAUUUAAAUAUAAUUAUGUAACUGCACAUUGCUCACCCACACAGUGCACUAGAACUGAGAUCAAUGUUUGUUAAUGCUUCAUGAGAUGAUGACUGGUUCACAGAUAACUGUACUUUUGCCUUCCACAUCAUUAUCUAAACUAUUUUGCGGCUGUGAUACCCAACAUUCAUGUGGAAACUAUCUAAGCUAUUAACUAUGUUUGAUCACACUUAAUUUUCAAUUACAGGUAAAUUGAUGUUGAUAGACCCUGUUUCUUUACCAGAAUAAUGUCAUUUGUUUGUAACUCCACAACACCUGAAAUUGGGACAUAUAUACAACACGCAUUUAGGUUGAAUAUUUAUGAAAAUUUCAAAUUAAACUCAAAGGGUGUGGCCAGAGGGGCUGACUGAACUUUGAUGGUUCCUCAUGAAGCAUGAUGUGCUGUAUAAAUGCCGUCUACAUACUGCAAUCUGCCUGAAAGUUGAUGUGAUUGAUCACAGUCCUGCAGUGAUGACAUCCAUAUGCCAAUGUGCACUCAGUCAUAGCGUCACCUGCUGUAGAGGAAAUUACAAGUUUUACACUUUAAUGUUGUACUAUACUUUUAAUAAAUUUAUCUGCACUUUUUUCAUUUACUUUAAAUUAACUUCUUUUCUAUUGGUUGUUGCAAUUAGUGUCAGACAUGCUUUUAUUUUUUCCAUUUCUUGUCUUCUUUUGGCUGUUUUACUCAGUUUUAAUUAUUCUAGAAAUGAGUGUCCAUUGUAUUCAGUGAACCUUUUCUGAUUAAAGUGACUUCAUUUUUUAUUACA